AACAAACAUAAUGAGCUCUUUGAUUACUCAUAAGACUCCAACAUCAACAGGAAAAACUUCUCAUCCAACCAUAUAACACAAAAGUCUCACUCAUACGACGAUCCUCACUCCAUAUAUAUACAACCUUCUUACUUACUUGAAGAUAGAGAUAAUGAGAAUUCCAGAAUUCGUUUACCCUCCAUAGCGGACGUCGGUGAACUUGUUCUUAAUCCACUUGAAGCUGUUGCGGACGGAGGACUUGAGUUUGGCCUCCAUGGUGAAGACGUUGUAGGAGGCGACGCGGCGCUUCCGCUUCAUCUCCGGCGAACUCCCGUCCUUCCCCCUCGGCCCGUUGAAGUUGUAGGAGUUGGAUCGCUUGUCGUAGCCGAAGCCGGAGGAGUAGGAGGAUGAGUAAUCCGGACAAGAACGGCUCUUCUCCAUUGAUUGCUCCUACAACUUCAACGGAG
rnacentral:misc_RNA from 1 species